UACGUAGGGGGCAAGCGUUAUCCGGAUUUACUGGGUGUAAAGGGGGCGCAGACGGCGAUGCAAGCCAGGAGUGAAAGCCCGGGGCCCAACCCCGGGACUGCUCUUGGAACUGCGUGGCUGGAGUGCAGGAGGGGCAGGCGGAAUUCCUGGUGUAGCGGUGAAAUGCGUAGAUAUCAGGGGGAACACCGGUGGCGAAGGCGGCCUGCUGGACUGCAACUGACGUUGAGGCCCGAGAGCGUGGGGAGCAAACAGG
rnacentral:rRNA from 1 species